UCUUGUCUGAUAUUGUUUCAGAUUUCGGCAUAGACAAAACGUAUCGCUUCCGAGGUCGUUUGGCUUCCCUUGGGGUAGAUAGUGCUGGUCGUGUCAACGUGACUGGCUGUGUCGUGGUGAUUGGAGGUAGUGUUUGUCCAUCAUGAGAAACCUUCAAGCUGUGAUGAUCAUUGAAUGUAACAGGACAGCUUCAAGAACUUGCUAAUUGUUGACUGAUGUAGAACUCUUCACAUGUAUUUUCAACACGAGAGUGGGAAACCUUCAAUCAAUGACUUUUCUACUCUCUCUCCCUUUACAUAUAUCUCAAAUAUCUGCAGGCUCAUGAUGUGUGGUAGCGGGGCGAGUUGCUGUCCUACAAUGCCUUGGAGAUGACCACAGAGAAGUUGGUUUACAAUGUGAGGUUCCUGAUUUGGAAUCUGGUUCGGAAGACUCUUACUUUGUUCUCCGACCGGACAGUGUCCCUCAAGUUCGAUUUGGAUAGGCCACAGUUUCCCAAGACUUCAUCUUUAUACCUCAACAUUAUUGUCUGCUGUCUUUGACAUCACUCGUACUUUAGAUUCUCUACACUGACCACCACAAGAAUUAAGAUUUGAUAAAUUUAACACUGAAAUGUAAUCUUAACUUUAAGUUGAAUGUUAUGAUGGCUGCCUGGCAGAUGCCUCCUGUAUGAACAAUAUUUGUUAAAUUUGUGUCUUGUGGUGCCCCCAAACUGUCUGUAAUUGUUUGGUGCCCAUGGACACUGUGGCACUAGCCCUUAUGCCACCUUAUUAGGUGAGCCAUCUUUAUUAUCACAGAGGACCCUCUCACCCCCUCCAUCAACUCCCACCACACCACAGAAUCAAUCUUCUACCACCAACUACAAGAACUCCUCAGCAGAAAGAAUCUCAACAGACAAUAAAGUUUUAAUGUUUAA